rnacentral:rRNA from 1 species
UCGUCAGCUCGUGUCGUGAGAUGUUGGGUUAAGUCCCGCAACGAGCGCAACCUUGUGUUUAGUUGCAAACAGGUCAAGCUGUGCACUCUAGACAGACUGCCGUGGACAACACGGAGGAAGGUGGGGAUGACGUCAAAUCAUCAUGCCCCUUAUGAUCUGGGCUACACACGUGCUACAAUGGCCGGCACAGCGGGAAGCGAGGCAGUGAUGCCAAGCGGAUCCCUUAAAGCCGGUCUCAGUUCGGAUUGAAGUCUGCAACUCGACUUCAUGAAGCUGGAAUCGCUAGUAAUCGCGCAUCAGCCAUGGCGCGGUGAAUACGUUACCCGGGCCUU